GGGGGAGCGCAGCUAUCUGCAGUCGACGCAUAGCAUACUGAGUGGCAAACGGGUGAGUAUAAUGUGGGUAUCUACCUUUUGGUUUGGAAUAACAUGAGGAGACUCGUGCUAAUACCGGAUAAGCCUUCACAGGGAAAGUUUUAUACGCCGAAAGAUGAGCCCGCACUUGAUUAGUUUGUUGGUGAGGUAAUGGCUCACCAAGACUAUUAUCAAUAGCUGGUCUGAGAGGACGAUCAGCCACAUUGGGACUGAGACACGGCCCAGACUCCUACGGGAGGCAGCAGUAAGGAAUCUUGCACAAUGGGGGAAACCCUGAUGCAGCGAUGCCGCGUGAGUGAAGAAGGCCCUUGGGUUGUAAAACUCUUUCGUCGGGGAAGAAAAUGACUGUACCCGAAUAAGAAGGUCCGGCUAACUUCGUGCCAGCAGCCGCGGUAAUACGAAGGGACCUAGCGUAGUUCGGAAUUACUGGGCUUAAAGAGCUCGUAGGUGGUUAAAAAAGUUGAUGGUGAAAUCCCAAGGCUCAACCUUGGAACUGCCAUCAAAACUUUUUAGCUAGAGUGUGAUAGAGGAAAGUGGAAUUUCUAGUGUAGAGGUGAAAUUCGUAGAUAUUAGAAAGAACACCAAAUGCGAAGGCAACUUUCUGGGUCACUACUGACACUGAGGAGCGAAAGCAUGGGUAGCGAAGAGGAUUAGAUACCCUCGUAGUCCAUGCCGUAAACGAUGUGUGCUAGACGUUGGAAAUAUAUUUUUCAGUGUCGCAGCGAAAGCAUUAAGCACACCGCCUGGGGAGUACGACCGCAAGGUUAAAACUCAAAUGAAUUGACGGGGACCCGCACAAGCAGUGGAGC
rnacentral:rRNA from 1 species